rnacentral:rRNA from 1 species
CCUACGGGAGGCAGCAGUGGGGAAUAUUGCACAAUGGGGGAAACCCUGAUGCAGCGACGCCGCGUGAGUGAAGAAGUAAUUCGUUAUGUAAAGCUCUAUCAGCAGGGAAGAAAAUGACGGUACCUGAGUAAGAAGCCCUGGCUAACUACGUGCCAGCAGCCGCGGGAAUACGUAGGGGGCAAGCGUUAUCCGGAUUUACUGGGUGUAAAGGGAGCGUAGACGGCAGUGCAAGUCUGGGGUGAAAGGUGGGGGCUCAACCACCGGACUGCUCUGGAAACUGUACGGCUGGAGUGCAGGAGAGGUAGGUGGAAUUCCUAGUGUAGCGGUGAAAUGCGUAGAUAUUAGGAAGAACACCAGUGGCGAAGGCAGCUUACUGAGCUGUAACUGACGUUGAGGCUCGAAAGCGUGGGGAGCAAACAGGAUUAGAUACCCGAGUAGUC